UACGUAGGGGGCAAGCGUUGUUCGGAAUUACUGGGCGUAAAGGGCGCGUAGGCGGUUGGAUAAGUCAGCUGUGAAAACCACGGGCUUAACUCGUGGCCUGCAGUUGAGACUGUCUGGCUUGAGUGUGGGAGAGGAGAGUGGAAUUCCUGGUGUAGCGGUGAAAUGCGUAGAUAUCAAGAGGAACACCUGAGGUGAAGACGGGUUGCUGGGCUGACACUGACGCUGAGGCGCGAAAGCCAGGGGAGCAAACGGG
rnacentral:rRNA from 1 species